rnacentral:lncRNA from 1 species
AACACUAUAUUGUUUACAUCAAAGUGCAACCACAAUCAAAUCGUAAGUGUUUGUCCCUUUAUACUAAAUGUCUUUUGUCAUAACAUUAAUUUGGCUAAUUUACUUCACAUAUGGAGCCUACCUUAUUUAAUUGUCCACCGAUCUGUUUGUUCUAUCCUCAUUUUCACAAACAAUGGAUAGUAUUUGUCCUUUUCCACUGGUUAUCUUUUGUCAUAACAUUGAUUUUGCAAAUUUACUUCACAUAUGGAGCUUGCCUUAUUUAAUUGUGUACUGAUCUAUUUGUUCUAUCCUCAAUUUUUCAAGGUCACCAAUCUUUGCAUGUAGAAACAAUGGGAAAGCCUCAAGACUCCAUAGUCAGAGAAGGGGAAGUAUCCUUUGCAGCUGCAUUAAAAAAAGGGGAAUGAGGUGAUUUGUUAUCUAUAACUCACGGUAUCGAUUAUCGAGCGUUCAAUCAGGGUCAACGAUGGGAUAAUAGAAUUCACAAAUCCUGGUUUUCAUGGCAACAUCUACAUAAUACUAAAAAAAUAUUAGGCUAAUAAGAUAAAUCCACAGAAAAGUGAUAUUAUCUAAAAUGUUGUUGAUGGUGGUAUAUUCUAUUUGAUCUUAGUAUCACAUUUUUGUUUGGUUAUGUAUGUGGAGUGAUAGUAUAUCAUAAUAUGACACCCUUUCCCUCCUUUUACUUUUCCUAAUAUACCGAAUUAUUGUUUUUCCGCAUAAGCAUAUAUUUACAACACCUAUGGGGUUAUUUAUUUUCAUGUCAUUUGCAAUCAUUUCGUCCCUCCAUGUAGAAGCAUGUACCUGCCUCUACAUUGGCUCUUCCUGGGAUAAACUUGGACUGAGAUGCCCAGGUAGUUUAUGUUAUGCACCCUUCCGAGUGAAAAGGUCAGGAAGUGCUGCUCUGCUUUUAACAUAGUCGAAAAAUUAACUCACGUGUCUUCAUUUUACCAUGUAUGUAAUUUCAACAUAAAGUAUCGAUGGAGCUCUACAUCAUUUCAUUAUUGGCACAAAUCUAGUGGGCAGUCGAACAAGGACGCUAUGAAGUACCAAAGAAUAAAAAAAUCAUCAUGCUAUAUCAAUAUGUAUUCUCUUUUCAUUAAAUAAAGCUACUUUGUACGAAAGAUUUCAUCAUUCAUACCAGUAUAUUUUUUACAUACACCAUAAUAUAAAAAUAACAUAAAAAAUAAAGUGAGUGGUAAAAAUUGAAUAAUUAAUAGAUAAAUUAUAGUAUCAUCGUACACAAAAUUUCUCACAUAAUGUAUCAAUAGGCGCGGCGUGACACCGCGCGGGCAUAGCUAGUGUGCACUAAGCCAACAAUAAUCCGGUUAAAAAUGUUUAUUCUUUGUGACAAACUAUACCUCGCCUAUUGUGAAUCAGCAGAAACGCUCGCCUACAAUGCUUGCUCAUGGCCUGCAGCCCAACCAAGGACUUUCUUUUACGGUUUUCGCUAGAGGAACCGGCUUUUCUGCUGUACGUCUGUACGUAGGAUAUUUGUGUUAAGAAAGUGCGUGCAAGCUCUUUGUGGUAUCUGUUUUAAAUUUGUGUUUCUCUUCAUUUUAUAUUUUUCAUUUGUAUCAUUUUCUAUUUCAUAUUUUUACUUUUGUUAGCUUUUUCUUCCGAUUCUCAGUUUUUUCGGUCAUUGCUUACUUAAAAUGUUCAUAGUGUAUUUAAAAAAAGUUCACCACGUUCCAAAAAUGUAAAUUCAGUGUUUCAAAAAUCUUCACCGCAUUUUAUAACAAUUUUACAUUUUAUAAUAUGUUCACCGCGUUAUCUGAAAUGUUUGUCGCAUAUUUAAAAAAUAUAUUCAUGGUGUUUUAAUUUUUUUAUCGCGUAUUUAAAAAUGUUCACUGCAUU